rnacentral:hammerhead_ribozyme from 1 species
AUUCAACUGAUGAGUCCCACAUAGGAUGAAACGUGCGUCAAAGUAAAU